ensembl:lncRNA
ACUUCUUCCACUUUACAUGCGGGUUGCCACCACAGUAUGGCUGAUGAAUGGUGCAGGUCUGUGCCUGGGAUCCAAACUCGUGAAGCACAAGCAGAGCAAGCCAAACUUAACCACUGACACCCAGGGCCAGCCCCAAGUCCAUUUUUUAAAGACAGGAAGAGCAUAUGGGUCACACGGAUCCAAAUGCGUCUGGACACCUUGGCGACACACUCGCGCAGAUGGGGUAACUGAAGCUUACAGAACAGCAAUUUGACCCCUGCAGUCACACAGCUACGAGCAGGGCCAAGAUCUGCACCCGGGCAGGCGGAGCUCAGAGACAGCACACGCCUCCAUCACUUUGUAAGGCCUCAUUCAGUGGCUUUUUCAUUUAUAAUCCAUCAUAAAUGAUUCAAGUUUUCUCGAACCUAAACCUGCAAGCUUAGUUGCCCCAGGCUGCCCUUUCCACUCUCAUUUUCUGUUUGAUGAAGUGCCUUCUUCCUUAUACAGCUCCUUAUAGAAUGUGGUCAACACGCGUUUUAUUCACUGCCUCCUGAGCCCUCUCCCUACCCUCAGUUCUCCCACCAGACCUGGAGCACAGGGCAAUUUCCCGUCCACCUUUUCUUACUCACAGCUUCCACAAGGGGGCGCAUUCUGACCAUAAAGAUUUCGAUGUUCUCUCCCGUUAGCUAAAAUACAACCAGCGUCACCUUAAUGCUUUCAUUCUGUUAUAAGAAACGGCUUCAUUCAAGCCACACUCCUCAUUGUUAUUUCACGGAGGGGAAGAACAGUAAAAAAGGAAACCGUAUAAUUUUUGUGGACUGUUUCUCCAUAAUUCAUUCACUGGAUUUCUGUGUUAUGUUGUAUGGAAUCCAUUAAGCAGGAUAUUGAAGCUUAUGAAUGGAGACCUAGUAAUUCCUCUUUAAUAAACAUGAGUUACUUUUAUUUCUUAAACUUUAUUAGGCACUUACUCAAAACAUUACUCAAAAAUGCUUGUUAAUAAUAUGAAUGAUGAUUUUGAUUCCGUUUGCAUUAUUAAUAUUUCUAAAGGCCUAAAAUACAAAGUCUGGACUAUUCAUAAAAUCUGAGAAAAUGGCCGGCACUUGAAUGUAAAUCUUUGUGCCUGAGUUUAAUUCCAUCUUGACACUUCUCACCAAACCUUGUAAGGAAGGUAAGGGCUGCUACCACAGGGCCUUUUUGUGUAGCUGAGGAAACUAAUACCAGCGGAGACUUCCUCGGAGCCUUAGGAGGAGCCACGUGCAAAGAG